GCGAAACUGGUUUUCAGGAGUGGAGAAACUUUUGUUUUCGAAAAUAAAAAUAAUGGCUCGAGUUGUGCAACUAUGAAAGAUUUUAUUGCUUCCGUGCGUGAUAUCCAAAGUAGGGUAAAUGAUAAAUUAACUGAAAUCGUGAACGAUGAAAAAGAGAGAGCAAAAGAUUUGAAGGAAACUAGCACAACAGAAAUUGGCGAAGAAUUAGAGGAAGACAGCAACGAUGAAGAUGAACCAGAAAUUAAGA